rnacentral:rRNA from 1 species
UACAGAGGGUGCGAGCGUUAAUCGGAAUUACUGGGCGUAAAGCGCGCGUAGGCGGCUUUGCAAGUCGGGUGUGAAAUCCCCAGGCUUAACCUGGGAACUGCAUUCGAGACUGCAUUGCUAGAGUAUGGGAGAGGGAAGUGGAAUUUCCGGUGUAGCGGUGAAAUGCGUAGAUAUCGGAAGGAACAUCAGUGGCGAAAGCGGUUCUCUGGGACGGUACUGACGCUGAGACGCGAAAGCGUGGGGAGCGAACAGG